GAUGAACGCUGGCGGCGUGCCUAAUACAUGCAAGUCGAGCGAACAGAUAAGGAGCUUGCUCCUUUGACGUUAGCGGCGGACGGGUGAGUAACACGUGGGUAACCUACCUAUAAGACUGGAAUAACUCCGGGAAACCGGGGCUAAUGCCGGAUAACAUUUAGAACCGCAUGGUUCUAAAGUGAAAGAUGGUUUUGCUAUCACUUAUAGAUGGACCCGCGCCGUAUUAGCUAGUUGGUAAGGUAACCGCUUACCAAGGCAACGAUACGUAACCGACCGGAGAGGCUGAUCGGCCACAUGAGAACGGAGACACGGUCCAGACUCCUACGGGAGGCAGCAGUAGGGAAUCGGACGCAACGGGCGAAAGCAUGACGGAGCAACGCCGAGUGAGUGAUGACGGUCUUCGGAUCGUAAAACUCUGUUAUUAGGGAAGAACAAAUGUGUAAGGAACUGUGCACGUCUUGACGGUACCGAAUCAGAAAGCACCGGCUAACUACGUG
rnacentral:rRNA from 1 species